UUUGUUUCUAAAAGGAGACUUGCCCCAUUGUCUCAACAGCCUAUGGAGUUAUGAGUAAAAAUAUUUUGGGUGUAUUACUCCAAGGUUUGUAUAAGUGAGAAAAUGGACACUUCUGCAUAAUUUCUUGUUCUGUUCCAGCACAGCUUGGCCAAUGUCAAUAGUCAGGGUUACACUUUGGAUAAUACUCUGCAUUUUGUGCUGGUACCUAUGCAUAAUGGUACUGGUGAUGUGAUGAUAAUUGUGUGAAGAGAUAAACAGUCAUAGCAUAAGAGAUUUUUUCCUCUGAUUUGAACAUUUCCCAAUGUGUAACGGUACGGACAAUUCCCAAGGAAAUUUUUUUGAGAGGAGAAAGAGGGUUUCCUUACCUCUACUUCCUUAGUCAGAUUAAUUGAUUUCUGUUUUUGUGGUGUAUAUCUGAUAUUUUUGCCUUCAAAACAUUCCUUUUUCUUAUAAUAAAAGUAUUCUGAUUUCCAUUUUGGGAACUAACUGCCUCUUCCUUAUACUUAUUCUAUGUGUUUCAGACGCCUAUGACUUCACUUGGCUUUAAGGGAGGAGACAUCACAAAAGCCUGGCCUGUCGUAACACUGCAUCCUCUUGGCCACAAAGAUUGAUUCAAGGUAAACUAGAAAAUACGGAUGGGGAGGAAUUCAUGCUUUGGGUCAGGGUACAUUAUAGGAAGUAUUCAAGUUUGGUCUGGAUCCUCACUUAGCAGGUAGAAGACAGAAGACGCCUUCCUAAUUUCCACUGAAGCUAGAAUGCAAGUUGGAGAGAACCCAUUGGAGACUCAGUUCAGAAGAGAGCGACAUGAGGAGGUUACACCAUAGAGACUCAUUUCCUGUGAGGGUGGGGAGACAAGGAGCUUUCAGAGGUCACAGAAGCAAGACAUUUUAGGAGUAUGGUCCCUGGGUGGGCAGUGCAGACUCUAGGGCUAUGGUGGUGGCAAUGGGACCUUUACUGGAGCAUUCUAUUUCAGUGUAAUCAGAAUAUUCUUCUUGGUAAGACGGAUAUCUCCAGCCUUAGUGAGAUUUAAUGAGCUACUUACAUCCUUUAACAUGUUCUUUUUAUGCAUAAAUUGGAUGGAAUGGGCUCUGUUGUUUCCAGCUAGAAAAAUUGUUGUUGAUACAUGGAUAUUUGAGGUAACCAAAGUGGGGAAGAUGGAGACUAGUCUGCUCAGCCAUUAUAGGAUAAAUUACUAUUUUUUUAAACAACCUAGUCAGUGUUAAAAUGAUUGAGCAAUAUCACCACAGUCUUAAUUAAUUCAAUCAGAAUUGUUUUUUCCUCAGCAAGAAGGUAUAACAGUCUGCUCCAGUUUAAGAAAAUCUCAUACACAAAGUCUAAAUUUACAUAACAGAUAUAUUAAAAGACCUUUUUUCAAUUUAUCAAAGGAUUAACUAUGUAAAAGGAUUUACUAUAUGUUUUACUUAACUAGCGAAUUCCUCAGUUAUUUACUACAUUGUAACUUAUUUUAAUACUCCAUCUUUAAAGACCUUUCCAAGACCAUAUUUGCUACAUAAAUAGAGGUUUGCUUUUAUUUAAGUAUGAAAAUUUACAUGCUGUGGGAAGUUGUGAAAUUACUAGUCCCUGCAGGCCAACAAAGGAUUCCAACUUGCACUUUCAAAAUUGGAAUGCUUUUUCUAUAUCAACAUUAUGAAGAAAAUAUGCUAUUGAGAAAUAAGUUUAUUAUGUAGGGUUGUUAAAUGAAGACUAUAAAAUACAUAUCUAACUAAAAAAUUCAACACUACAGAAGAGUAUGCCAUCCAGUUCAUGAAUGUUUUUUGUGUUAAGUUAGAUAGCUAUUGAUUUUGUAGAGUGACCUUAAUCCACUUUGUAGCUAUUAUUUUCGGUUGUGAAUGGAAAAUAAAUUUUUUUAGGGUCUGAAGAUACUAUACAGCUGGGUUUUGGCAACAAUAGUGCAAAGACAAUGCCUGCAUUGUGUGUGUGUGUGUGUGCACACGCGCUCUUGUAUGCUUACAUACAUACUAUACUGCACUACACUUACAGAAACCUCUAAAUCCCUAUUGGGUUCACAAGUUCAGAGCGGAUGUGGAACACCUAUUAGACAUUUAAGAGCAUCAUAAAAAGACUAUCUCUGGAGAUUGUGUUUAUGCUUGGAAUGGAUCUCCUCCCGGGAAAGUUGAAAGCCCAUUAAAAGGAUUUGAUCUCAGCUUUUGUGUGUUGUUUCUUUUCCUAUUAGAGAGCUGUUCUUACAGCUGUGAUGCAGUCAGUUGUCUCUUCAAUUACUGGGGAUUAGAUUUUAUAACAACGACAGGAAAGCAACUCGGCCACUGAUACUUAACAUGACAAUAUAGAUGCAGAGAUUUCACAAUUAAAAAAAAAAAAAA